rnacentral:rRNA from 1 species
UACGGAGGGGGCUAGCGUUGUUCGGAAUUACUGGGCGUAAAGCGUGCGCAGGCGGUUCGUUAAGUUCGUUGUGAAAGCCCCGGGCUCAACCUGGGAACUGCAAUGGAAACUGGCGGGCUUGAGUGUGGCAGAGGGGGUGGAAUUCCGCGUGUAGCAGUGAAAUGCGUAGAGAUGCGGAGGAACACCGAUGGCGAAGGCAGCCCCCUGGGCCAACACUGACGCUCAGGCACGAAAGCGUGGGGAGCAAACAGG